ACUUCAUGAUUUUGGCAUUGAAUAAGAUUACCAUUAAACCCCUCCCAAGCAUCAAACAAUGGUUCUCCGUUCAUUUGCCAAAAAAUUUAAAAUUUCAUCCCGAUUUU
rfam:Capsicum annuum cultivar Zunla-1 chromosome 3, whole genome shotgun sequence